rnacentral:rRNA from 1 species
GCCUUGCGCUAUCAGAUGAGCCUAGGUCGGAUUAGCUAGUUGGUGAGGUAAUGGCUCACCAAGGCUACGAUCCGUAACUGGUCUGAGAGGAUGAUCAGUCACACUGGAACUGAGACACGGUCCAGACUCCUACGGGAGGCAGCAGUGGGGAAUAUUGGACAAUGGGCGAAAGCCUGAUCCAGCCAAGGCGCGUGUGUGAAGAAGGUCUUCGGAUGUAAAGCACAUGAGUGGGAGGAAGGGCAUUAACCUAAUACG